CGUACCUUGAAGCUCUGGUCAACAAUGAAAAAAGUUUGGACCAAUGAUACAUUGUGGGAAAAUAAAAGGAUGGCCAUGACACACUCUGGCCAGACUUGAUGCUACAUAGGACUCGAUCAAAAGUUGAACAAAAAUAGAAUUCAAAAUAAGACGAUCCAAGUUGGUCUGAUCAACUAUGGCUAUGACCUGAUUGUACAACAAUCUCUAUGGCUUGCUGCCUCCUGUGCCGUUGUUUCUGAACAUGGCUAUCAGAAGUGAAACUGGUAAUGUUGGUCUUUGUGGAGGCCCGUUACCAAUCUGUGACGGGUCUUCGUUCCACCCCGCACUGCUUUGGGAAGUCAGGAGUGGCGAUGCUGCCAGAGGCAAAAUAGUCGCAAUGAUGGCAGCUGUUGUGGGUGGGAUUUCUCUUAUUUUGAUUGUUGUUAUCUUAUAUUUCAUAAUAAAAAAAGGGUACACGAAAUAUAACCGCAAUAGAGGAUGAUACAGAAACUUCUUCGGUCUCGCCAGCAUGUAUAUACUUGCCACCCAAAAAUGGUUUCAAGUUCCAAGAGUUGGUUGAGGCCAUACAGAACUUCCACGACGAUAAUGUUAUCGGAAGGGGAGAGAUGGGAAUGAUUUACAAAGCAGUGAUGUAGUCUGGACAGAUAGUUAGGAAAAGGUUUGCUUCUAAUCGAGAAGGAAACAACAUUGAAAACAGUUUUCAUGCUAAAAUCUUGAGAGUAGGAAAGAUCGGGCAUCCUAACAUUGUAAAGCUUUAUGGGUAUUGUCAUUACCAUGGCUCUAAUUUACUGCUAUACUAGUAUAUGGCGAGGGGUAGUUUGGGCGAAUUGCUUCAUAAUGGUUCGUCUUGCAGUUUGAACUGGCCAACUCAGUUCACCAUUGCCCUUGGGGCUACCCAAGGUCUUGCUUAUUUACAUUAUGACUGUAAACUAAGAAACAUUCAUCGUGAUAUCAAGUAAGACUGGGUUGGCACCCUUUGCUAGUCCACGUAGGCUGGUUUUAAGAAAUGUCUGACAUACAUGCAAAGUGUGAACGAUCAGAGUUUAUGGAUCAGAAAGAAGCAAGCUGCAUUUAAAGAAGCAAGCUGUAUUUGAAAAGGCUUGCCCUCCUUUGACUUUUUCAUUUGACCAUUAUAGACGGUGCAUUCUGUUACAGGUACAUACAUUUAAGUGUGGUAACAUUGUGGGCUACUUCGUCGCAUCAGAUUAUCAGCUCAAAUGCUAUGCUAAACGACUCUUGUCUGCAUUUAAUAAAGUGGGUCAUCCAUUUGUUCUUGGUAUGAUGUGGCAAGAUAAUGCUGUUACGAGUCAAUUCCUGGGUCGAGUCCAAUUUGGACUACUAACCGGGUCGCCUAUCUUCUCAUUCUCUCUUUCACAUCCUAAAAGGGUCAUCCUGCCCGAGUAAUUUAUUGGGUCAUAUCCCAUAUUAAUUAAACACGGGUCCUCAUUCAACCAGAUAAUAACUGGACUGUUACAAGUGGUGACAUACAUGCUACGAGAUAAAUGCCUCAUGUCACCGUUAUUGAAAAACUAGAUGGAUCCCAAGACUCUUUAGACUCAACACAACAUUGGCAAGCAAUGUUGGUGGCAAGGACCACCUUGCGGGCCCCCUCUGGAGUGGGCUCAAAUAUUUUUGCCUGAAGCUCGGUGGGAAGAUUUGUAUAUAUGAUAAGUUCUGCUAUUUUACUCCCUGGUCCCCGUGUUCUGUGUUUCAGGAUUUCCUGAUCUAUUUCAAUUUCCUUUUGACCAAUGAGGAAGACAAGUGCGUCACCAUCUUCGGGAGGUUGAGUGACAUGGAUUUGGAGAGCUGCGACAAUUGCAGCAUCCAGGUAAUCAGCCUCCAGUGCUUUAAUGUAUAGUAUUUCCACAGGAUAUCUUCUUCUGGGAAUUCUAAAAAUUGGUGCAGAGUCAAAAUAGUUGCUUAACUUCUCAACGUCGAUAGUGGCACUCGAAAUGAGCACCUUGAGAUCAGGAUGAAAUUGAGCGAUAUCCUUAACUAAACCGAACAAGAUAUCAGUUGAUAACGUCCUUUCAGAGCCUCAUCCACCAUCACCACACUGUAAUUUGCAAGAUCAGGUUUACCAAGAAACUCUCGCAGUAGCAUGCCAUCAGUUAUAUGUUUAAGCACUGUCUUUCCAGAAGUACAUUUUUCACAACGUAUUGAAUAGCCAACCUCUUGCCCAACUUUGACUCCUAUUUCCUGAGAAACUCGGGCAGCAGCACCCAUAGCAGCAACCCGUCUAGGUUGCGUACAACCUAACAUUCCACGUCUCGUGUAACCAGCCUCAGGUAGCAAUCAGGUCUCAAUCAAACUUGCAGUUUAUCGAAGACGACGAUUAUGUUGAUGCGUCCAACAACCAGAACAGCCUCCCCAUGUAUUAUCUUAACCGAGCUAAAAUCCUGGCUUCGUCACUGUACAUAUAUAAUAAUGGGAUUGAUGUGAUCAUAUAUAUACAAUACCUUUGGAUUUUUGAGUU